rnacentral:rRNA from 1 species
UCCCUACGGGGUGCAGCAGUCGCGAAAACUCCGCAAUACACGAAAGUGUGACGGGGCCAUCCCGAGUGCCAUCCGCUGAGGAUGGCUUUUCCCCAGUGUAUAAAGCUGGGGGAAUAAGGAGAGGGCAAGCCUGGUGUCAGCCGCCGCGGUAAUACCAGCUCUCCGAGUGGUGGGGAUGUUUAUUGGGCCUAAAGCAUUCGUAGCCUGCUUGGCAAGUCCUCCGUUAAAUCCACCGAUUCAAUCGUUGGGCUGCGGGGGAUACUGUCCAGCUAGGGGGCGGNAGAGGCCGACGGUAUCCUCGGGGUAGGGGUGAAAUCCUAUAAUCCCGGGAGGACCACCAGUGGCGAAGGCUGUCGGCUAGAACGCGCUCGACGGUGAGGGAUGAAAGCUGGGGGAGCGAACCGGAUUAGAUACCCGGGUAGUCCCAGCUGUAAACGAUGCAGGCUAGGUGUUGGCGCGGCUACGUGCCGCUCCAGUGCCGCAGGGAAGCCGUUAAGCCUGCCGCCUGGGAAGUACGGCCGCAAGGCUGAAACUUAAAGGAAUUGGCGG